rnacentral:rRNA from 1 species
UGGAUACACUUAGUGGCGGACGGGUGAGUAACGCGUGGGUACCUGCCUCACACUGGGGGAUAACAGUUAGAAAUAGCCGCUAAUACCGCAUAAGUCCGCAUGGAAAAAACUCCGGUGGUGUGAGAUGGACCCGCGUCUGAUUAGCCAGUUGGCGGGGUAACGGCCCACCAAAGCGACGAUCAGUAGCCGGCCUGAGAGGGUGAACGGCCACAUUGGGACUGAGACACGGCCCAAACUCCUACGGGAGGCAGCAGUGGGGAAUAUUGCACAAUGGGGGAAACCCUGAUGCAGCGACGCCGCGUGAGUGAAGAAGUAUUUCGGUAUGUAAAGCUCUAUCAGCAGGGAAGAAGUGACGGUACCUGAAUAAGAAGCCCCGGCUAACUACGUGCCAGCAGCCGCGGUAAUACGUAGGGGGCAAGCGUUAUCCGGAUUUACUGGGUGUAAAGGGAGCGUAGACGGCAAGGCAAGUCUGAAGUGAAAGCCCGGUGCUUAACGCCGGGACUGCUUUGGAAACUGUUUGGCUGGAGUGCCGGAGAGGUAAGCGGAAUUCCUAGUGUAGCGGUGAAAUGCGUAGAUAUUAGGAAGAACACCAGUGGCGAAGGCGGCUUACUGGACGGUAACUGACGUUGAGGCUCGAAAGC